rnacentral:rRNA from 1 species
AACUCUGAGCAGUGGAUCACUCAGCUCACGGGUCGAUGAAGAACGCAGCCAGCUGCGAGACUUGGUGUAAAUUGCAGGACACAUUGAGCACUGAGUUUUCGAACGUGCAUUGCAGUAUAUAUACAUAUAUGUAAAUAUACAUUGAAUUAGUAUAU